rnacentral:rRNA from 1 species
CCUACGGGAGGCAGCAGUGGGGAAUAUUGGACAAUGGGGGAAACUCUGAUGCAGCGACGCCGCGUGGGGGAAGAAGUAUUUCGGUAUGGAAAGCCCUUUCUGCAGGGAAGAAAAAUUGCCCGUGCCUGAGUGAGAGGCACCAGCUAAAUACGUGCCAGCAGCCGCGGGAAUACGGAUGGUGCAAGAGUUAUCCGGAUUUACAGGGUGUACAGGGAUGGCAGGCGGCAUGGGAAGCCUGUUGUGAAAGCCAGCGGCCCAACCGGGAGAUUGCAGUGGAAACUAUCGGGCUUGAGUGCAGGAGAGGUAGGCGGAAUUCCUGGUGUAGCGGUGAAAUGCGUAGAGAUUAGGAGGAACACCAGGGGCGAAGGCGGCGUACUGGACGGUGACUGACGCUGAGGCUCGAAAGCGUGGGGAGCAAACAGGAUUAGAUACCCCUGUAGUC